rnacentral:rRNA from 1 species
GACGAACGCUGGCGGCGUGCUUAACACAUGCAAGUCGAACGGGUCUGCCCUGUUUUUUGCGGGGUGGGUCAGUGGCGAACGGGUGAGUAACACGUGAGUAACCUGCCCCUCACUUCUGGAUAACCGCUUGAAAGGGUGGCUAAUACGGGGUGUUCUGGCUGUGCCGCAUGGUGUGGCUGGGAAAGAUUCACUUUUGUGGUGUUUUGGUGGGGGAUGGGCUGGUGGCCUAUCAGCUUGUGGGUGGGGUGAUGGCCUGCCAAGGCUUUGAGGGGUAGACGGCGUGAGAGGGUGGGCGGUCCCACAGGGACACAGAGACGGGGCAGACUCCUGCGCGGGGCAGCAGUGUGGGGUAUUGCACAAUGGGCGGGAGCCUGAUGCAGCGACGUGGCGUGAGGGAGGGAGGCCUUCUGUUUGUGAUCAUCUUUCGCCGGUGAAGAAGGUCCUGCUCUUUGUGGUGGGGUUGACGGUAGCCGGGUUAUGAAGCGCCGGCUAACUACGUG